GUCAGAAACUCAAGCCAGAAAUUAAACUAACUCACAGAUCUCGACGUCCAAAAUAUCGAGUGAAAAUUUUGUCAGAAAAUGUUCGCACAUUCAAUCUUACUUGCAAUUGUUCAUUUCCACAAGCUGGUCGAAAUGCAGGACAUCUGGGAUUUUCCAAAGCCAGUUGUGUCUCUGAAUCCUUCGUAUGGGAUGUUUUUGGAAGGAGAGUCAACAUCAGUGAACUGCAGCUGUCAAUGUCCAGUCACAAGCAUACACUCAUGCUAAAAUUCUGAAUGCAAGCAAGCAGAACUUUCUGAAGGACAAUGCGAAACAUCUUUGCAGUUAAAAGAUUUAA